rnacentral:rRNA from 1 species
AUUGAACGCUGGCGGCAUGCUUUACACAUGCAAGUCGAACGGUAACAGGCCUUCGGGUGCUGACGAGUGGCGGACGGGUGCGUAAUGCAUCGGAACGUGCCCAGAGGUGGGGGAUAACGCAGCGAAAGCUGUGCUAAUACCGCAUGUGAUCUGAGGAUGAAAGCGGGGGACCAGGCAGCAAUGUUUGGCCUCGCGCCUUUGGAGCGGCCGAUGUCGGAUUAGGUAGUUGGUGGGGUAAAGGCCUACCAAGCCGACGAUCUGUAGCUGAUCUGAGAGGACGACCAGCCACACUGGGACUGAGACACGGCCCAGACUCCUACGGGAGGCAGCAGUGGGGAAUUUUGGACAAUGGGCGCAAGCCUGAUCCAGCAAUGCCGCGUGCGGGAAGAAGGCCUUCGGGUUGUAAACCUCUUUUGUACGGAACGAAAAGGCUCUGGCUAAUACCUGGGGCUGAUGACGGUACCGUAAGAAUAAGCACCGGCUAACUACGUG